GGCUCAGAACGAACGCUGGCGGCGUGCCUAACACAUGCAAGUCGAACGAGAAAGCCUGAGCAAUCGGGUAAGUAAAGUGGCGGACUGGUGAGUAACGCGUAGGUAAUCUACCUGCAAAUUGGGAAUAACUUCGCGAAAGCGGGGCUAAUACCGAAUAAAGUUCGGGAAACAUAAGUUUUCCGAACCAAAGAUGGCUGAAUCCGCAAGGAUGCUAUUGUUUGCAGAUGAGCCUGCGUACCAUUAGCUAGUUGGUAGGGUAAUGGCCUACCAAGGCAACGAUGGUUAGCCGGCCUGAGAGGGCGAUCGGCCACAUUGGGACUGAGAUACGGCCCAGACUCCUACGGGAGGCAGCAGUGGGGAAUAUUGCGCAAUGGAGGAAACUCUGACGCAGCGACGCCGCGUGGAGGAUGAAGGUUUUCGGAUUGUAAACUCCUUUUAGAGGGGACGAAAACUAUCUUGUUAAUAAUAAGAUAGCUUGACGGUACCAUCAGAAAAAGCCCCGGCUAACUCCGUGCCAGCAGCCGCGGUAAUACGGAGGGGGCAAGCGUUGUUCGGAAUUACUGGGCGUAAAGGGCGCGUAGGUGGCGAUAUAAGUCAGACGUGAAAUCCCUCAGCUUAACUGAGGAAUUGCGUUUGAAACUGUAUUGCUUGAGUACAGGAGAGGAGAGUGGAAUUCCCAGUGUAGCGGUGAAAUGCGUAGAUAUUGGGAGGAACACCGGUGGCGAAGGCGGCUCUCUGGACUGUUACUGACGCUGAGUCGCGAAAGCAUGGGGAGCAAACGGGAUUAGAUACCCCGGUAGUCCAUGCUGUAAACGAUGGACACUAGGUGUAGAGGGUUUCAACCCCUUCUGUGCCGUAGUUAACGCAUUAAGUGUCCCGCCUGGGGAGUACGGUC
rnacentral:rRNA from 1 species